rnacentral:piRNA from 1 species
AAGUGCUGUAGCGCUUGACGUGGAUGC